rnacentral:tRNA from 1 species
GCCGGGGUGGCGAAAUUGGCAGACGCACGGGACUCAAAAUCCCGCGGUAGCGAUACCAUGCCGGUUCGAGUCCGGCCCCCGGCACCA